rnacentral:lncRNA from 1 species
CCUCCAUCUAGCUAGCAUCCUCCCCUCUGACUAACAUUCCUGACUGCCACGCACGAGUCAUCAACUUCUUUAUCAAUUUAUCUGUAGAAUAUGUUCUUGCUGUUGAAAGUGAUAUCAUCUUGGAAGGAAAAGAGAUCGAGUCAUUAAUUCAUUGACAAGGGGAAAAUGACAGCGGAUCAAUAAUUAUUAUAAUACGUACUUUUGCAAAGCUUGCGGCCA